rnacentral:ncRNA from 1 species
GAUUUUGGCAAACCUAUUGAAAGAUAGGGACGCAAAGCUAGAAGCCUGUCGGAAAAAUAAUGUGUAAUUCCUAUGGUAGUUCAGUUGC